AAAAGUGCAUCAAGUUUACAAAUAUGUGCUUAUAAUUAACGCCACGAAAAUACAUACAGGGCAGACGCCGGAUGGGAUUCCUCGGCUGCAUUCGCCAUUUGGGCUAUACUUUGCUCGAAAAAGGGGGGAUAACUAAAGUCGAGUUGUGAACGACAAUUUUGAUAACAAAUUCAAAUGAGUGUAGUUGUUAGUAGUUUUAUGUCUCCACACACACAUUCAAUUCACUUUGCACUAAUCAGUGUGCUCACAAUCAAAAUCAAAAUGGCUGCACAUGCGCGGCGCCCAUUACCAUAAUAUGGGCAAAUUAUUGCAUACUUUGGAGCGAAGCUGUGCCGCAUAAACUGCACCAACUCAGUGGACCCUGAGACAGUUUAGUUGCAAAGCCAGCGCCUCUGGCAGCAGACUUACAACAAUUCGCAAAGCGACAGUACAGUGGCUAUUAGGUAUGAAAGAACCUAAUCGAAUAACAAAACUGCUAGUGGAGUUACUAAACAGGUUAACAGAUAAUAGCGCCAACUUCAAGAGUUUAACAAUCGUCAAACGCAGCUCAUACUGUAUCUUCUAUCUAGAUAACCAGCUCUCUCCAGCUCAAAUUUCAAUUCCAGCUGCAGGAUGCAUCUGUCGAGUUGGCGCUGCCGGAGGACGAUUGUCAUGCCAGAAUGUGCACUUCCGCGUCCGCUUAGUUGUAUGAACUUAACAGUAAAUUGAAUUAAAAUUUAUUGUGAAAA